CAGUCGCCGCGGUAAUACGAAGGGUGCAAGCGUUAAUCGGAAUUACUGGGCGUAAAGCGCGCGUAGGUGGUUUGGUAAGAUGGAUGUGAAAUCCCCGGGCUCAACCUGGGAACUGCAUCCAUAACUGCCUGACUAGAGUACGGUAGAGGGUGGCGGAAUUUCCUGUGUAGCGGUGAAAUGCGUAGAUAUAGGAAGGAACACCAGUGGCGAAGGCGACCACCUGGACUGAUACUGACACUGAGGUGCGAAAGCGUGGGGAGCAAACAGGAUUAGAUACCCCAGUAGUCCCUGUCUCUUAUAC
rnacentral:rRNA from 1 species